AUUUACUGUCCAGCUACUCCAACUUUUUCAAAUACAUCAUAAUCUGCUUUAUAUUCAUGUGUGCGAAAAAGAGAGUGCACUUAUGGAAUAUUAUGUUUUACUAUUCCAGUGACAGUUUAACUUAGAAGAAGUGAUCACAAGUAGACACUCAUGAACACUCAUCACUUUCCAGCUAAUACCACACUGUUUGCAAAUGGAACAGGAGAAAAUCUCUGCAUCUUGAAGGCUCUGACAGUUUUCCAGGCUGAAACUGCAAGUGGAACAGCCUUCUCUUUGAAAUCCUGAGGAUUUUUUUUUGCCUUAGCAUCAUUGGAUCACUUCUUGGAUGCUAAUCAGCAGCUUCACUGGCUCUGAAUGGGCUCCAGCUCUCCAAGAGGCUGUGGACAGAGUUUCUGGAUGUCUCCAUGGGCUGAUGGUAGACAGGUGUGCCUGCAGUAAAGUGG